rnacentral:rRNA from 1 species
GAUCCUGGCUCAGAAUCAACGCUGGCGGCGUGCCUAACACAUGCAAGUCGCACGAGAAAGGGUAGCAAUACCUGAGUACAGUGGCGCACGGGUGAGUAACACGUGACUAACCUACCUCCGAGUGGGGAAUAACCUAGGGAAACCUGGGCUAAUACCGCAUAACACUUACGAGUCAAAGCAGCAAUGCGCUUGGAGAGGGGGUCGCGGCAGAUUAGCUAGUUGGUGAGGUAAUGGCUCACCAAGGCGAUGAUCUGUAUCCGGCCUGAGAGGGCGCACGGACACACUGGAACUGAAACACGGUCCAGACUCCUACGGGAGGCAGCAGUGGGGAAUUUUGCGCAAUGGGGGAAACCCUGACGCAGCAACGCCGCGUGGAGGAUGAAAUCCCUUGGGAUGUAAACUCCUUUCGAUCGGGACGAUUAUGACGGUACCGGAAGAAGAAGCCCCGGCUAACUUCGUGCCAGCAGCCGCGGUAAUACGAGGGGGGCGAGCGUUGUUCGGAAUUAUUGGGCGUAAAGGGUGCGUAGGCGGUUUGAUAAGUCAUCUGUGAAAUCUCUGGGCUCAACCCAGAGUCUGCAGGCGAAACUGUCGGGCUUGAGUAUGGGAGAGGUGAGUGGAAUUUCCGGUGUAGCGGUGAAAUGCGUAGAUAUCGGAAGGAACACCUGUGGCGAAAGCGGCUCACUGGACCAU